rnacentral:rRNA from 1 species
AUAGUCUAGAGUGAGGGAGAGGCAGAUGGAAUUGGUGGUGUAGGGGUAAAAUCCGUAGAUAUCACCAAGAAUACCCAUUGCGAAGGCGAUCUGCUGGAACUCAACUGACGCUAAGGCGCGAAAGCGUGGGGAGCAAACAGGAUUAGAUACCCUGGUAGUCCACGCCCUAAACGAUGUACACUAGUUGUUGGGGUGCUAGUCAUCUCAGUAAUGCAGCUAACGCAUUAAGUGUACCGCCUGGGGAGUACGGUCGCAAGAUUAAAACUCAAAGGAAUAGACGGGGACCCGCACAAGCGGUGGAGCAUGUGGUUUAAUUCGAAGAUACGCGAAGAACCUUACCUGGGCUUGAUAUCCUAAGAACCUUUUAGAGAUAAGAGGGUGCUAGCUUGCUAGAACUUAGAGACAGGUGCUGCACGGCUGUCGUCAGCUCGUGUCGUGAGAUGUUGGGUUAAGUCCCGCAACGAGCGCAACCCACGUAUUUAGUUGCUAACGGUUCGGCCGAGCACUCUAAAUAGACUGCCUUCGUAAGGAGGAGGAAGGUGUGGACGACGUCAAGUCAUCAUGGCCCUUAUGCCCAGGGCGACACACGUGCUACAAUGGCAUAUACAAUGAGACGCAAUACCGCGAGGUGGAGCAAAUCUAUAAAAUAUGUCCCAGUUCGGAUUGUUCUCUGCAACUCGAGAGCAUGAAGCCGGAAUCGCUAGUAAUCGUAGAUCAGCCAUGCUACGGUGAAUACGUUCCCGGGUCUUGUACUCACCGCCCGUCACACCAUGGGAGUUGAUUUCACUCGAAGCCGGAAUACUAAAUG